CCAAUAGCGUAUAUUAAAGUUGUUGCAGUUAAAAAGCUCGUAGUUGAAUUUCGGGAUCAGUACGCCGGUCGUGCCUUCGGUAUGUACUGGUGUCACUGAUUCCUACCUUCUGAAGAACCGUUAUGCCAUUCAUUUGGUGUGACGGGGAAUCAGGACUGUUACUUUGAAAAAAUUAGAGUGUUUAAAGCAGGCUCGCGCUUGAAUACAUUAGCAUGGAAUAAUGAAAUAGGACGUUUGAUCUUAUUUUGUUGGUUUCUAGGAUCGACGUAAUGAUUAAUAGGGAUAGUUGGGGGCAUUAGUAUUCAAUUGUCAGAGGUGAAAUUCUUGGAUUUAUUGAAGACUAACUACUGCGAAAGCAUUUGCCAAGGAUGUUUUCAUUAAUCAAGAACGAAAGUUAGGGGAUCGAAGACGAUCAGAUACCGUCGUAGUCUUAACCAUAAACUAUGCCGACUAGGGAUCGGAUGAUGUUAUUUUUAAUGACUCAUUCGGCGCCUUACG
rnacentral:rRNA from 1 species